rnacentral:snoRNA from 1 species
UUGUUAUGGACAUCACCAUGAAAAAAAAAUACCCACUAGGUUUCUGCCUACCUUUCUAGUGAUUAGCCUAUUGGGAACAUUU